rnacentral:rRNA from 1 species
AGCAGCCGCGGUAAUUCCAGCUCCAAUAGCGUAUAUUAAAGUUGUUGCAGUUAAAAAGCUCGUAGUUGAAUUUCGGGAUCAAGUUGUUGGUCGUGCCUCGGUACGCACUGGUGACAUUGGUUUCUCCCUUCUGAAGAACCUUGAUGUCAUUAAUUUGGUGUCUUGGGGAAUCAGGACUGUUACUUUGAAAAAAUUAGGGUGUUUAAAGCAGGCUCACGCCUGAAUACAUUAGCAUGGAAUAAUGAAAUAGGACGUUUGAUUCUAUUUUGUUGGUUUCUAGGAUCGACGUAAUGAUUAAUAGGGAUAGUUGGGGGCAUUAGUAUUCAAUUGUCAGAGGUGAAAUUCUUGGAUUUAUUGAAGACUAAUUACUGCGAAAGCAUUUGCCAAGGAUGUUUUCAUUAAUCAAGAACGAAAGUUAGGGAUCGAAGACGAUCAGAUACCGUCGUAGUCUUAACCAUAAACUAUGACCGACUAGGGAUCGGAUGAUGUUAAUUUUUAAUGUACUUCAUUCGGCGCCUUA